AGGCGACGACGGGUAGCCGGCCUGAGAGGGUGACCGGCCACACUGGGACUGAGACACGGCCCAGACACCUACGGGAGGCAGCAGUGGGGAAUAUUGCACAAUGGGCGGAAGCCUGAUGCAGCGACGCCGCGUGAGGGAUGACGGCCUUCGGGUUGUAAACCUCUUUCAGCAGGGAAGAAGCCACAAGUGACGGUACCUGCAGAAGAAGCGCCGGCUAACUACGUGCCAGCAGCCGCGGUAAUACGUAGGGCGCAAGCGUUGUCCGGAAUUAUUGGGCGUAAAGAGCUCGUAGGCGGUUUGUCGCGUCUGCUGUGAAAGCCCGGGGCUCAACCCCGGGUCUGCAGUGGGUACGGGCAGACUAGAGUGCAGUAGGGGAGACUGGAAUUCCUGGUGUAGCGGUGAAAUGCGCAGAUAUCAGGAGGAACACCGAUGGCGAAGGCAGGUCUCUGGGCUGUUACUGACGCUGAGGAGCGAAAGCAUGGGGAGCGAACAGGAUUAGAUACCCUGGUAGUCCAUGCCGUAAACGUUGGGCACUAGGUGUGGGGGACAUUCCACGUUCUCCGCGCCGUAGCUAACGCAUUAAGUGCCCCGCCUGGGGAGUACGG
rnacentral:rRNA from 1 species